rnacentral:tRNA from 1 species
AUCCCUGUAGCUCAGUUGGUAGAGCAUGGUGUUUGCAAUGCAUGGUGUUUGCAACGCAUGGUGUUUGCAACGCCAGGGUUGUGGGUUCGAUUCCCACGGGGGGCC